AACGAACGCUGGCGGCAUGCCUAACACAUGCAAGUCGAACGAGAUCUUCGGGUCUAGUGGCGCACGGGUGCGUAACGCGUGGGAAUCUGCCCUUUGGUUCGGAAUAACAGUUGGAAACGACUGCUAAUACCGGAUGAUGACGAAAGUCCAAAGAUUUAUCGCCAGAGGAGGAGCCCGCGUAGGAGUAGCUAGUUGGAGUGGUAAAGGCGCACCAAGGCGACGAUCCUUAGCUGGUCUGAGAGGAUGAUCAGCCACACUCGGACUGACACACGGCCCAGAAUCCUCCGGGAGGAAGCAGUGGGGAAUAUUGGACAAUGGGCGAAAGCCUGAUCCAGCAAUGCCGCGUGAGUGAUGAAGGCCUUAGGGUUGUAAAGCUCUUUUACCCGGGAUGAUAAUGACAGUACCGGGAGAAUAAGCUCCGGCUAACUCCGUGCCAGAAGCCGCCGUAA
rnacentral:rRNA from 1 species